GUGCUUGCUUCGGCAGCACAUAUACUAA
rnacentral:snRNA from 1 species